rnacentral:lncRNA from 1 species
UCCGGCACUCCUCUGUCUCAGGCGAGUCGCCCCAGUUCGCCAUCGCAGCCCCGGACGUGCGCCUCCCGCGGAGCCGCUCGCUCGCCUGAGUCGGAGUCGGGAACCCGGCGUCCGUUGCCAUGGCGACUCCCAGGGGCUUCCCCACAAGGCGCCCACAGCCUGGAGGCUGCUGAGAUACCCCAGAGGAAAGCUGCACCCCUGUAAAUAACCCUUCAGCCUCCCGCCGUGCCCCUGGACCCUGCUUGCUUCCUCCUCUACCCAGGCGCGGAGCUCAGCCUACCUCGUGGACCCGCGCAUUUGCCGGGGCUUGGAUUCCCGAGCUUCUCGCUUCCUACGCGCGCAGCAGACCCGCAGCUCGGUGGCCUUGGCUUUCAUGGCCUCCCAGCGUGUGCCAAAGGUCCCCCUCAAGGAGGAGGAAAAGCAGUGAACCCAUCUAAUAACUAUGCUCAUGACAUAAUGAGCCCUGCGAUCCCGGACCAAGGCCAUCAUAAGAGGAGAGCAGGCUGCCUAAUAAGCUGUCUCCACCUGCCACAAACGUAGGCGUUCCUGGACAAAAUAUUUCCUUGAAGAGAUUAAACAGAUUUCUAUUUAAUGAGGUCAGAAUGUGAGGCGUUAAGUCUUAAACUAUACCAUCUAGUGUGGAAUUCAAUUUUACCAGGUUUCUACAAUAAUAAGAGUUUAUAGUGAAACUGUUGUCAUCCUUAGUUUUAAAUUAUGUAUCACUCAUUGUCAACUAAUAGGAGACACCUAUUCUAAUAUCAGUAUGUCAUUGCCAUUGUUUUUCUGUAAACGACUGGCUAAAUUUAUUUUUAAAAUGUUAUUGUCUGGUUUAGAACUGUCUAUACUACAUCUGCAUUUCAAUAUAUUAUCUACAGAAAAAUAAGUUUUUUCU